GAUGAACGCUGGCGGCGUGCUUAACACAUGCAAGUCGUACGGUAAGGCCCUUUCGGGGGUACACGAGUGGCGAACGGGUGAGUAACACGUGAGUAACCUGCCCACAACUUUGGGAUAACGCUAGGAAACUGGUGCUAAUACUGGAUAUGUGCUCCUGCUGCAUGGUGGGGGUUGGAAAGCUCCGGCGGUUGUGGAUGGACUCGCGGCCUAUCAGCUUGUUGGUGGGGUAGUGGCCUACCAAGGCGGCGACGGGUAGCCGGCCUGAGAGGGUGACCGGCCACAUUGGGACUGAGAUACGGCCCAGACUCCUACGGGAGGCAGCAGUGGGGAAUAUUGCACAAUGGGCGCAAGCCUGAUGCAGCAACGCCGCGUGCGGGAUGACGGCCUUCGGGUUGUAAACCGCUUUCAGCAGGGACGAAGCUUUUUGUGACGGUACCUGCAGAAGAAGCACCGGCUAACUACGUG
rnacentral:rRNA from 1 species